rnacentral:rRNA from 1 species
UAUGUGAUCGUCUCUCGCAUAUCAAUAAGCGGAGGAAAAGAAACUAACAAGGAUUCCCCUAGUAACGGCGAGUGAAGCGGGAAGAGCUCAAAUUUGAAAUCUUAAAGGGUUUCCCUUUACGAAUUGUAGUUUAAAGAAGUGUUUUCUGUUGAGGUUUUGGUAAAAGUUCUUUGGAAUAGGACAUCAUAGAGGGUGAGAAUCCCGUAUUUGACCUUUACUUUCAACUUUGUGAUACACCUUCAAAGAGUCGGAUUGUUUGGGAAUGCAGUCCAAAAUGGGUGGUAAAUUUCAUCUAAAGCUAAAUAUUGGCGAGAGACCGAUAGCGAACAAGUACCGUGAGGGAAAGAUGAAAAGAACUUUGAAAAGAGAGUUAAACAGUACGUGAAAUUGUCAAAAGGGAAGCGUUUGACACCAGUGUUGUUUUUCUGAAAAUCAAUUAAAGAACUGUUUAUGCUAAGCUGUUUAGACUUUAUCAGCUAUCUGUUUAGUUUUGAGCUUUUCUUUAAUGCACUUUUCAGUUAACAAGUCAACAUCAAUUUCUUUUGCUGUAAAAAAGCUUGAGGAAGGUGGCUUGAGAUUCGUCUUAAGUGUUUAUAGCCUCUUGCCUAUGCAGUCGGAGAGAUUGAGGUCUGCAGCGUAGAUCCUUCGGGGCUAAAUGCAUUUGUGCUAAGUUAUAGCAUUUUAUAGACAACUUGUUGACUAUGAUUUGUCUUGUAGCUUACUCGCUUAUGUUAUUUUACCUACGCUUAGGAUGUUGAUCUGUAGUGCGUGCGC